UCCCCAACCAUAGUGGGCUUGGAGCUGUGAGGGAAUUCGGAGUGGCCACCUAUUCUGAAAGUUUGAUUUUCUUCUGGUGAACUGGACAUCCUUUUAUUUACGUUUGAAGUUUUGGGUUUUUAAAUGUAAUAAGGCCGCUUAUUUAUUUUUGAUGGUUUUUUUUAUAUGUAUUACUAAGAUAAGUAAUACUUAUUUUAACUGUUGAAAUUGGAUAGCUUUAGGGCGCGUUUUCAAAAACAACAGUUGAUUUCAAAAUAACACGACAACAAGCAAAGCUUCCGCAAUGAAAGUAUUUUCCAAAAUUAAUCACUUUUCCUAAAAAUGACUUAAUCAAAUCGGUUUCCUAGAAAUAUCCAUGACGUUAAAGUGUGGCAAUGGCGGUAUGCAUGUCUAGGAUUGGAUCCGAAGGGAGCUUGGUACUUAAGCAGUCCGAUGGACUCACCACCUCUUUUCCGGUUUCCUACCUGGUGCACAGCUUCCAUUCACUUGGUUAGUUUGACAAAAUUCGGCUUUUUUUUUAAAACACUAAAAAGGGAACACGGGUUUUUGACUUCACAGUGGCAUGUCGGAUUCGGCCUUAACGUCUGGGCCGGGUUUGGGGUGCUACAUAGUGGUACAAAAAGUUUGACUCCUUCCUGUUAAGUAUUGGUUUCGCACAAAGUAAUCAUGAUAAUUGUAUGUAUUUACAAUAUUUAGAUAAAGGUUCAUUCAUAUAUUUGCUGCUUUAUGUUGAUGAUGUGUUGAUAGCAGCUAAGGAUCCGUUAGAAAUUGAACGACUUAAAACCUUACUUAACUCUAAAUUUGAGAUGAAUGAUCUAGGUGCAACAAAGAAAUUAUGGGGAUAAAAAAUUGAAAGGAUAGACGUUUCAAGAAAUUAUUCUUGUCGUAACAAAGGUACAUCAAGAAGAUCCUUGAGCGAUUUGAGAUGCAAAACUCAAAAUCGUUACUCGUCAGCUUGUGUGAGCAGCACCGUGUACUUACGUCUUGACCGUCAGAUUGUGUGAGCAAACCCGAUGAUGGCUCGAGAGUGAGCAUCUAUACGAGAUAUGAGAUAGAGAUGGUUUCGACCAUGUAUUGACAUUUUGGUUUGCGAGUUACCCGAGUAUCCAGUAUUAUUCCAAAUGGUUCAAUGGGCAUAGUGAUGUUACGAAAGUAUAUGAAUUCAAUAUAAACCAGUACAUGUAUGUACGUAAAUCAUGUGAGAAUUGAAUCCAUGAGAUUUGUGAUUUCAUGUCUAACUUUGUGGAUGGAUAUAUGUUAGGCUUGUAGAUCAAAUUGAGUUGCAUUAUACUAUGUUUAAUUACUUAAAUUGUGAUUAAAUGGUAAGAUGAGUUUUAUGCUA